CAUGCAAGUCUAAGUUUAAGCACCUUAACGGCGAAACUGCGAAUGGCUCAUUAAAUCAGUUAUCGUAUAUUUGAUAGUACCUACUACAUGGAUAACCGUGGUAAUUCUAGAGCUAAUACAUGCUUAAAAUCCCGACUCCGGAAGGGAUGUAUUUAUUAGAUUAAAAACCAAUGCCCUUCGGGGCUCACUGGUGAUUCAUAAUAACUUCUCGAAUCGCAUGGCCUUGCGCCGGCGAUGGUUCAUUCAAAUUUCUGCCCUAUCAACUUUCGACGGCUGGGUCUUGGCCAGCCGUGGUUACAACGGGUAACGGAGGGUUAGGGCUUGACCCCGGAGAAGGAGCCUGAGAAACGGCUACUACAUCCAAGGAAGGCAGCAGGCGCGCAAAUUACCCAAUCCCGACACGGGGAGGUAGUGACAAUAAAUACUGAUACAGGGCUCUUUUGGGUCUUGUAAUUGGAAUGAGUACAAUUUAAAUCCCUUAACGAGGAACAAUUGGAGGGCAAGUCUGGUGCCAGCAGCCGCGGUAAUUCCAGCUCCAAUAGCGUAUAUUAAAGUUGUUGCAGUUAAAAAGCUCGUAGUUGAACCUUGGGCCUGGCUGGCCGGUCUGCCUCACCGCAUGCACUGGUCCGGCCGGGCCUUUCCCUCUGGGGAGCCGCAUGCCCUUCACUGGGUGUGUCGGGGAACCAGGACUUUUACUGUGAAAAAAUUAGAGUGUUCAAAGCAGGCCUAUGCUCGAAUACAUUAGCAUGGAAUAAUAGAAUAGGACGUGUGGUUCUAUUUUGUUGGUUUCUAGGACCGCCGUAAUGAUUAAUAGGGACAGUCGGGGGCAUCAGUAUUCAAUCGUCAGAGGUGAAAUUCUUGGAUCGAUUGAAGACUAACUACUGCGAAAGCAUUUGCCAAGGAUGUUUUCAUUAAUCAGGAACGAAAGUUAGGGGAUCGAAAACGAUCAGAUACCGUUGUAGUCUUAACCAUAAACUAUGCCGACUAGGGAUCGGGCGGUGUUAUUUCUUGACCCGCUCGGCACCUUACACGAAAGUAAAGUUUUGGGUUCUGGGGGGAGUAUGGUCGCAAG
rnacentral:rRNA from 1 species